AGGUCACUGCUAUCUGGAUCUGACUAAGCCAUGCUAGUUUUGGGGCUAAUUUUAGUUCCAGGGCGAACAGCUCAGUAACACGUAGUUAAUUUACCCUUUGGUCCAGAAUAAUCUCGGGAAACUGAGGCCAAUGCUGGAUAGAUAAGGAUCCCUGGAAUGGUUCCUUAUCCAAAGUUCGCGAGAAUGCCUAAGGAUAAGACUGCGACCUAUCAGGUUGUUGUUAAGAUAAAAGCUUAACGAGCCGAUAACGGGUACAGGCCUUGAGAGAGGAAGCCUGGAGAUGGAUUCUGAGACAAGAAUCCAGGCCCUACGGGGCGCAGCAGGCGCGAAAAUUUCCCAAUGCUCGCAAGAGUGAGGAAGAGAUCUGGAGUGCUUUCUCUUUUGAGAGAGUUUUUCCUGAGCGUAAGAAACUCAGGGAAUAAGUGGUGGGUAAGACGGGUGCCAGCCGCCGCGGUAAUACCCGCGCCACAAGUGGUGACCAUGUUUAUUGGGUUUAGAGUGUCCGUAGCCGGUCUAGCAAGUUCCUAGUGAAAUUCCAUCGCUAACGAUGGAGCUUGCUAGGGAUACUGUUAGACUUGAGAUUGGGAGAGGUCAAGGGUAUCCCAAGGGUAGGGGUAAAAUCCUGUAAUCCUCGGGAGACCGCCUGUGGCGAAGGCGCUUGACUAGAACAAAUCUGACGGUGAGGGACGAAAGCUAGGGGAGCGAAGGGGAUUAGAUACCCCCAUAGUCCUAGCUGUAAACGAUGCCCACUAGGCGUUGGUAAUCUUAUGGGGGUUACCAGUGCCGGAGCGAAAGCGUUAAGUGGGCCACCUGGGGAGUACGGUCGCAAGGCUGAAACUUAAGGGAAUUGGCGGGGGAGUACACAAGGGGUGGAGGCUGCGGUUUAAUUGGAUCCAACACCGGGAACCUUACCAGAGGCGACAGCAGAGUGAAGGUCUGUCUGAAGAACAUACCAGACAAGCUGAGAAGUAGUGCAUGGCCGUCGUCAGUUCGUGCCGUGAGGUGUCCUGUUAAGUCAGGUAACGAACAAGACCCGCAUCCUGUGUUGCUAUUGCUUACGAGCAAGCACUCACAGGAGACCGCUGCUGAUAAAGCAGAGGAAGGUGCGGUCGACGGCAGGUCAGUAUGCCCUGAAUCCUCUGGGUUACACGCGGCCUACAAUGGCUGGAAUAAUAGGAUGCAACCACGAAAGUGGGAGCUAAUCCCUAAAUCCAGUCUUAGUCCGGAUCGAGGUUUGCAACUCAACCUCGUGAAGUCGAAAUCCCUAGUAGUCGCUGGUUAGCAUCUAGCGGCGAAUAUGUUCCUGCUCCUUGCACACACUGCCCGUCAAGCCAUCCGAGUGGGGCCUUGAUGAGGCUUUCCUUUAUGGGAAAGUCGAGUCAAAACUCUGCAAGGAGGGCU
rnacentral:rRNA from 1 species